AGACCCGAAACCCGGUGAUCUAGCCAUGGGCAGGUUGAAGGUUGGGUAACACUAACUGGAGGACCGAACCGACUAAUGUUGAAAAAUUAGCGGAUGACCUGUGGCUGGGGGUGAAAGGCCAAUCAAACCGGGAGAUAGCUGGUUCUCCCCGAAAGCUAUUUAGGUAGCGCCUCGUGAAUUCAUCUCCGGGGGUAGAGCACUGUUUCGGCUAGGGGGCCAUCCCGGCUUACCAACCCGAUGCAAACUGCGAAUACCGGAGAAUGUUAUCACGGGAGACACACGGCGGGUGCUAACGUCCGUCGUGAAGAGGGAAACAACCCAGACCGCCAGCUAAGGUCCCAAAGUCAUGGUUAAGUGGGAAACGAUGUGGGAAGGCCCAGACAGCCAGGAUGUUGGCUUAGAAGCAGCCAUCAUUUAAAGAAAGCGUAAUAGCUCACUGGUCGAGUCGGCCUGCGCGGAAGAUGUAACGGGGCUAAACCAUGCACCGAAGCUGCGGCAGCGAACGUAUCACCCAAGACAACUUUACGGAGUUGACGAUUGACGGAGCGAAGCGACGUCAAAGCGUUCAUUAAAGUCGAGUUGGCUUAGGGAUACGUUCGUUGGGUAGGGGAGCGUUCUGUAAGCCUGUGAAGGUGUGUCGUGAGGCAUGCUGGAGGUAUCAGAAGUGCGAAUGCUGACAUAAGUAACGAUAAAGCGGGUGAAAAGCCCGCUCGCCGGAAGACCAAGGGUUCCUGUCCAACGUUAAUCGGGGCAGGGUGAGUCGACCCCUAAGGCGAGGCCGAAAGGCGUAGUCGAUGGGAAACGGGUUAAUAUUCCCGUACUUGGUGUUACUGCGAAGGGGGGACGGAGAAGGCUAUGUUGGCCGGGCGACGGUUGUCCCGGUUUAAGCGUGUAGGUGUGUGUUCCAGGUAAAUCCGGUUCACUUUAACACUGAGGCGUGACG
rnacentral:rRNA from 5 species